rnacentral:rRNA from 1 species
AUACGUAGGUGGCGAGCGUUGUCCGGAAUUACUGGGUGUAAAGGGUGCGUAGGCGGAUUUGCAAGUCAGGUGUGAAAACUAUCGGCUUAACCGGUAGCCUGCACUUGAAACUGUACAACUUGAGUGCAGGAGAGGUAAGUGGAAUUCCCAGUGUAGCGGUGAAAUGCGUAGAUAUUGGGAGGAACACCAGUGGCGAAGGCGGCUUUCUGGACGGUGUCUGACGCUGAGGCGCGAAAGCCA